CGCCACUCGCUGGAAUGUUGAACAGCUGGACGUUGGUCGAUGCAGGGUGGUUGGUCUCAUUGUAGACUUUCACACAGCUGCAGUUGAAAUAUUCCUGUAGCAGAAGAGAAUGCUGUUAACAGUUUUCACAGGAAAACAGCAAGAACCAAGGAUGAGGAACCCUGAAUGCCUGAGGAAACAAACCCGAAGACGGAUACAGAGCUUGGAGGGAAAAAAAUCAAGAAAUUGUAGGGUAGUUGUGGAACCAAAAAGCCAUAGCGGGUCUUAUUCACAUGUCGUCUUGGAAGAGAUUGUCAGCCAAGCUGAAGUGCUGAGAAAAAACUCAGACUGGAAGCAGAGGAAUGAACUCACUUCCCAGGGAGACAUCGCUGAACGCCAUGUGCACGGUAGUAUCGUCCUCUUCAUCUACUGGC